GACGAACGCUGGCGGCGUGCUUAACACAUGCAAGUCGAACGGAAAGGCCCUGCUUUUGUGGGUUUCUCGAGUGGCGAACGGGUGAGUAACACGUGAGUAGCCCGCCCUUGUCUGUGGGAUAACUUCAGGGAACUGGGGCGAAUACCGCAGAUGAGCUCCUGCUGCAUGUUGGUGGUCGGAAAGUUUCGGCGGUUGGGGAUGGACUAGCGGGUUAUCAGCUUGUUUGUGGGGUAGUGGCUUACCAAGGCUUUGACGGGUAGCCGGCCUGAGAGGGUGACCAGCCACCUUGGGACUGAGAGACGGCCCAGAAUCCAACCGGAGGCAGCAGUGGGGAAUCUUGCACAAUGGCCGGAAGCCUGAUGCAGCAACCCCGCGUGCGGGAUGCCGGCCUUCGGGUUGUAAACCGCUUUCGACUGUGCCGAAGAGUGAGUGACGGUAAUGGGUAAAGAAGCAACGGCUAACUACGUG
rnacentral:rRNA from 1 species